rnacentral:rRNA from 1 species
AGCGAACGCUGGCGGCAGGCUUAACACAUGCAAGUCGAACGCUCCUAGCAAUAGGGGAGUGGCAGACGGGUGAGUAACGCGUGGGAACAUACCCUUUGGUUCGGAAUAACUCGGCGAAAGCCGUGCUAAUACCGGAUAAGCCCCUUACGGGGGAAAGAUUUAUCGCCGAAGGAUUGGCCCGCGUCCGAUUAGCUAGUUGGUGAGGUAAUGGCUCACCAAGGCGACGAUCGGUAGCUGGUCUGAGAGGAUGAUCAGCCACACUGGGACUGAGACACGGCCCAGACUCCUACGGGAGGCAGCAGUGGGGAAUAUUGGACAAUGGGCGCAAGCCUGAUCCAGCCAUGCCGCGUGAGUGAUGAAGGCCUUAGGGUUGUAAAGCUCUUUCGACGGGGACGAUAAUGACGGUACCCGUAGAAGAAGCCCCGGCUAACUUCGUGCCAGCCGCCGCAGUAACAC